rnacentral:rRNA from 1 species
GUAUUUUGACUGUGCAAAGGUAGCAUAAUCAUUAGUCUUUUAAUUAAGGGCUAGAAUGAAUGGUUGGACGAGGUAAAUUCUGUUUUAUAUUAAUUAAAGUUGAAUUUAAUUUUUAAGUAAAAAAACUUAAAUAUUUUUAAAGGACGAGAAGACCCUAUAGAGUUUAAUAAAUGUAAUAAUUAAUGAGUUAUGCUUGAUUUUUGCUUAUUAUGAAAUUUAUUUAUUGGGGUGAUUAAAGUAUAAACUCUUUUUAUUUUUCAUAAUAUAUUUAGUUAAGUGAUCCAUAUUUAAUGAUUAAACGAUUAAAUU